UGAUGAGAUGUGCAUCAAUGGUAU
rnacentral:siRNA from 1 species